CUUGUAAUUUUUUUGGCAGGUUGGGUUCCUUUAUCUGAGAUAUCUUGCUGAUUUUAAGACAUUAUGGGCUUGGUAUGAGCCUUAUCUCAAAGAUGAUGAGGUAAAAAUGAUGUGCUCUACCUGGAGUAGAUCAUUGUAUUGUGUUAUUUUGGAUUGACAUGCUGCAUUUGAGCAUUCUAUUAAAGUGCUCUACCUGAAGUAGAUCAUUCUAUUGUGUAAUUUUGGAUUGAAAUGCUGCAUUUGAGCAUUCUAUUAAGAUUCUGACAUUUUGCAUACAAACAACAAGUCUAUCAAUCUUGAUCGUUUCCAUGUUAUAGAUUUGUCUGCAACUUUGACUAUUUUCAUCAAUUUCAUGGAAUAUAGUGUUUGGAGGAGUGCAAUCAUUUGUUACUGUUCUCUUGUUUCGUCAAUCCGCUCAAAAUAUUGCCUCUAUAGUUAAUUUCCGCCCCUCCUCUCGAUAAUGCUUUUCCUCUGCUUUUGUUCAUUUUAAACUAGCUGAUCAAUAUGUUUUCAAUCAGCUU
rnacentral:lncRNA from 1 species